rnacentral:rRNA from 1 species
CCUACGGGUGGCAGCAGUAGGGAAUCUUUCACAAUGGGCGAAAGCCUGAUGGAGCAACGCCGCGUGCAGGAUGAAGGCCUUCGGGUUGUAAACUGCUUUUAUAAGCGAGAAAUAUGAUGGUAACUUAUGAAUAAGGAUCGGCUAACUACGUGCCAGCAGCCGCGGUCAUACGUAGGAUCCGAGCAUUAUCCGGAGUGACUGGGUGUAAAGAGUUGCGUAGGUGGCAUAAUAAGUAGCUAGUGAAAUCUGGUGGCUCAACCAUUCAGACUAUUAGCUAAACUGUUAAGCUCGAGACCGUUAGGGGUAACUGGAAUUUCUAGUGUAGGAGUGAAAUCCGUAGAUAUUAGAAGGAACACCAAUAGCGUAGGCAGGUUACUGGACUGUAACUGACGUUGAGGCUCGAAAGCGUGGGGAGCAAACAGGAUUAGAUACCCUGGUAGUC